UAGAGGCUGAGUAGUCUCAAGAUCUGAAGACAGCAGAAACCUGGGAAAGUUAAUGAUAUACGUUGUUAUACUCCAAGUGUGAGUCUGAAGACAAGGGAAGACCAACGUCCAAGCUUGAAGACAGUCAGAUAGAAUCAUUCUGCAGCCUGGCUAAGGAUGAAGAUAACUGAUAAACUAUUAUAUACCAAAAAGAUGUUGACAUGGAAAUUUUACCAAGCCUCCACCCCCAGAGUUAGGGUUGUUCGAAAGAGUAUCUCUUGUCUAGAGCUAUGGCUAUGUCACAAGCAAAAGAGCUGAAGGUUGAAAGGUAAAUAAGCACAAAGGAAUCAUCAGUACAAAGAGAGACUGUGACAAGACUAGACAAUUCUAUUCAAAAUUUUGAGAACUGGAGUAUAACAAAUGAGAAUGAAGAAACCAAUGAUGGAAACAUCAAGAUGAGGCCCAAUGGACCAUUAGGAGGUGGGUCUAUAAAAACUCUGAAGACAACACCAUGCUACUUGUUGCUGGCUUCUGUAUGUUAUUUCUGACACAAUGCUUAGGCAGUCUUGCUCCACUAAGAAAAAGCUGGUAGAACACAUAUAGACACUAAUAAUACGUUAAUUAUAUUAAAAAUAGGGGGCUUAUUUUAAAAUACAACUUAACUAAUAGAGUGAAAACAAUACACUGGUUGUCGUUAAACUUCCCCUUUUCUUCAUUCAUCAAAAGUGUAUCUACUGAAUACCUAACAUAAAGAAAUCAUUUAUACUGGGGUAAAUUACACAUCAAUCUAAACUUCCAGAAAAUUUUAUUCAUUAUAUAAAGUUAAAUAAGGUUGUAAAUAUCUAGAGUCCAAGGUGAAUGUGGUAUAUAUCAUAAGCGAUGUACAAAAAACAUACUGUCCGGGCACUGUGACUCAGGCCUGUAAUCCCAGUACUUUGGGAGGUCAAGGUGGGAGGAUUGCUUGAGCCCAGGAGUUUGAAACCAGCCUGGCCAACAGGGCGAAAUCCCAUCUCUACAAAAAAUACAAACAUUUGUCGGGUAUGGUGGUGCAGGACUGUAGUCCUACCUAUUCUGGAGGCUGAGGCGGGAAGAUCACUUGAUCCUAGGAGGCAGAGGUUGCAGUGAGCCGAGAUCGUGCCAUUGCACUCUAGCCUGGGAGACAGAGUUAAACUCUGUCACAACAAAACAAAACAAAAAAUACAUGCUGGGAAAGUUCAAAGAAUGGGGUCAUUUCCAGGGAAAUUUCCACAGAUGAUGUCAUAGACAACCUUGACUUUGAGGAAGAGCUAGGAUAUACAAAGUCCCAGAUAUUGGUGAGAAGAAAUCACUAAUGCUAUGGUCAUACAUUUUUAUGUUUUUUGUUUUGCAAUGAUAGCAAUGCUGGUGGUGGUAAGUAAUGAUUGCAUAUCCCAAUUUGGAGAGAACAUGAUACAAUAUGCCUUCUUGCAUGUAAUUCUGUGAAGAACGAUCAUUGCAUGUAUUGCCCAUGAAAUUGUAAUUAUAAUUAUAGCUUACAUAAUUAGAAUAUAAUAAAAUAUAACU
rnacentral:lncRNA from 1 species